AUAUAUUAUCUUCUGUUAUAUCUGUACUUCUCAGUUUAAUAUCUGAUAUGUCAUUUGAGAACUGUAUAUUAAAUUGAUUUUUGAAACAGGAGGAUGGAAUAGAAGCUUGCUCUGUCCACCCCAGGCAUCGACCUGAUAUUGUGGUAUCUCCGGAAAUGGACCAUCUCCU
rnacentral:snRNA from 1 species